rnacentral:rRNA from 1 species
UACGUAAGGACCGAGCGUUGUCCGGAAUCAUUGGGCGUAAAGGGUACGUAGGCGGUUAAAAAAGUUAGAAGUGAAAGGCUAUAGCUCAACUAUAGUAAGCUUUUAAAACUGUUUAACUUGAGAGAUGGAAGGGAAAGUGGAAUUCCUAGUGUAGCGGUGAAAUGCGCAGAUAUUAGGAGGAAUACCGGUGGCGAAGGCGACUUUCUGGCCAUUAUCUGACGCUGAGGUACGAAAGCGUGGGUAGCAAACAGGAUUAGAUACCCUGGUAGUCAAGGGCG